GCWGNACCGUGACAWNUCCCUUCUCSGGUUGCAGUUUGGUGCUGGCGAGUGKCGGACGGGUGAGUAWCACGUMSGAAUCUGCCCUACAGUGGGGGACAAUCCCGAGGAAACUCGGGCUARUACCGCAUACGCCCUACGGGGGAMAGCGGGGGACCUUCGGGUCCUCGUGCUGUUGGAUGAGCCUGCGUCGGAUUAGCUUGUUGGUGAGGUAAUAGCUCACCAAGGCMACGAUCCGUAUCUGGUCUGAGAGGAUGAUCAGCCACACUGGGACUGAGACACGGUCCAGACUCCUACGGGAGGYAGCAGUGGGGAAUAUUGCACAAUGGGCGAWAGCCUGAUGCAUCCAUACCGCGUGGGUGAAGAAGGCCUUAGGGUUGUMAAGCCCUUUCAGUUGGUAAGAAAAACUUGGGGACAAUACCCCCGGGUCUUGWCGGCUACCUUCAGAAGAAGCACCGGCUAACUCCGUGCCAGCAGCCGCGUGUAAUACGGAGGGUGCGAGCGUUAAUCGSAAUUACUGGGCGUAAAGCGCGCGUAGGCAGUCUAGUCAGUCAGAUGUGAAAGCUCCGGGCUUAACCUGGGCAAUUGCAUUUGAAACUGCNUAGGCUAGANUGUGGUAGAGGGAAGUGGNAUUCCGCGUGCAGCGGWGUAAUGCAUAGAGAUGCGGAGGAACACCAGUGNCGAAAGCUACUUCNUGGACNAACCCUGACGCUCAGG
rnacentral:rRNA from 1 species